UACAGAGGUCCCGAGCGUUGUUCGGAUUCAUUGGGCGUAAAGGGUGCGUAGGCGGCGGGGCAAGUCUGAUGUGAAAUCCCGGGGCUCAACCCCGGAACUGCAUUGGAUACUGCCUUGCUAGAGUACUGGAGAGGGAACUGGAAUUUACGGUGUAGCAGUGAAAUGCGCAGAUAUCAGGAGGAACACCGGUGGCGAAGGCAGCUCGCUGGGACGGUACUGACGCUGAGACGCGAAAGCGUGGGGAGCAAACAGG
rnacentral:rRNA from 1 species